GACGAACGCUGGCGGCGUGCUUAACACAUGCAAGUCGAACGGAAAGGCCCUGCUUUUGUGGGGUGCUCGAGUGGCGAACGGGUGAGUAACACGUGAGUAACCUGCCCUUGACUUUGGGAUAACUUCAGGAAACUGGGGCUAAUACCGGAUAGGAGCUCCUGCUGCAUGGUGGGGGUUGGAAAGUUUCGGCGGUUGGGGAUGGAUUCGCGGCUUAUCAGCUUGUUGGUGGGGUAGUGGCUUACCAAGGCUUUGACGGGUAGCCGGCCUGAGAGGGUGACCGGCCACAUUGGGACUGAGAUACGGCCCAGACUCCUACGGGAGGCAGCAGUGGGGAAUAUUGCACAAUGGGCGGAAGCCUGAUGCAGCAACGCCGCGUGCGGGAUGACGGCCUUCGGGUUGUAAACCGCUUUCGCCUGUGACGAAGCGUGAGUGACGGUAAUGGGUAAAGAAGCACCGGCUAACUACGUGCCAGCAGCCGCGGUGAUACGUAGGGUGCGAGCGUUGUCCGGAUUUAUUGGGCGUAAAGGGCUCGUAGGUGGUUGAUCGCGUCGGAAGUGUAAUCUUGGGGCUUAACCCUGAGCGUGCUUUCGAUACGGGUUGACUUGAGGAAGGUAGGGGAGAAUGGAAUUCCUGGUGGAGCGGUGGAAUGCGCAGAUAUCAGGAGGAACACCAGUGGCGAAGGCGGUUCUCUGGGCCUUUCCUGACGCUGAGGAGCGAAAGCGUGGGGAGCGAACAGGCUUAGAUACCCUGGUAGUCCACGCUGUAAACGGUGGGUACUAGGUGUGGGGUCCAUUCCACGGGUUCCGUGCCGUAGCUAACGCUUUAAGUACCCCGCCUGGGGAGUACGGCCGCAAGGCUAAAACUCAAAGGAAUUGACGGGGCCCCGCACAAGCGGCGGAGCAUGCGGAUUAAUUCGAUGCAACGCGUAGAACCUUACCUGGGUUUGACAUGGAUCGGGAGCGCUCAGAGAUGGGUGUGCCUCUUUUGGGGUCGGUUCACAGGUGGUGCAUGGCUGUCGUCAGCUCGUGUCGUGAGAUGUUGGGUUAAGUCCCGCAACGAGCGCAACCCUUGUUCACUGUUGCCAGCACGUUAUGGUGGGGACUCAGUGGAGACCGCCGGGGUCAACUCGGAGGAAGGUGGGGAUGACGUCAAGUCAUCAUGCCCCUUAUGUCCAGGGCUUCACGCAUGCUACAAUGGCUGGUACAGAGAGUGGCGAGCCUGUGAGGGUGAGCGAAUCUCGGAAAGCCGGUCUCAGUUCGGAUUGGGGUCUGCAACUCGACCUCAUGAAGUCGGAGUCGCUAGUAAUCGCAGAUCAGCAACGCUGCGGUGAAUACGUUCCCGGG
rnacentral:rRNA from 1 species